rnacentral:rRNA from 1 species
AUUGAACGCUGGCGGCAGGCUUAACACAUGCAAGUCGAACGAGUGGCGGACGGGUGAGUAAUGCUUGGGACUCUCGCUUAUGGAGGGGGAUAACUACGGGAAACUGUAGCUAAUACCGCGUACCAUAGGAUGAGCCCAAGUGGGAUUAGGUAGUUGGUGAGGUAAAGGCUCACCACGCCGACGAUCUCUAGCUGGUCUGAGCGGAUGACCGGCCACACUGGGACUUAGACACGGCCCAGACCCCUACGGGAGGCAGCAUAGGGGAAUAUUGCGCAAUGGGGGCAACCUGACGCAGCCAUGCCGCGUGAAUGAAGAAGGCCUUCGGGUGGUAAAGUUCUUUCGGUAGCAAGGCGUUAACUACAGAAGAAGCACCGGCUAACUCCGUGCCAGCAGCCGCGGUAAUAC